UUAGUCAGAACAAAAAAAACCUCUAACCCUAAUCGAUUUGUCCAAGCCUUUGUAAAAACCAAAACGAGACCUCUACUCCUGAAAACCCUAGAUCUACAUAUCUCUGUUUGUCUUGUUUCUUAUUUAGUCUUCCUCUUAGAAAAUCCCUAAAUAAAUCUCUCUCUCUCUCUCUCUUUUCAUAUCAAUGGCGGAUUUUGAUAAACUAGAUAAUGGAGGAGGAGGUGGUGGAGGAGCCGACAUUAAAGACGACGGCGGUGGCGGCAGAGGAGAGGUUGAAGAGAGGGAUAGGCUAACGGAACUUGAAGGAAUCUCUGUGUUGGAUUUCGAUCUGCUUUGCUUGAGGGUUGCGCUUCAGACUCAGGGGAAAUGGAGGAAACUCGAGAGCUUGGAGGGUGACGAUGCGACGGAGGAAACGGCGGCAGCAUUUUGCGGCUUUGCGACGAAGGUACAAAAUUUUAUGAUGAAAAAUCUGUUUUGUUGAAGAUUUGGCUUAGUGGGAUUACAAGACAACCUUAGGAACAGAAUUGGAGAUUCUGUAGUACAGAGAGAGAACUGUAGGAAGCAUUUGCUGUUGUGAGAGAAGCUUCAAGGAGAGUUCUUAGACUCAGACCUUUCGAUGUGCAAUUAAUAGGUGGUAUGGUUCUCCGUAAAGGAGAAAUAGCAUAAAUGAGAACUGGUGAAGGGUAAACACUUCUUGCCAUUUUACCAGCUUAUUUGAAUGCAUUAAGUGGGAAAGGUGUUCAUGUGGUUACAGUCGAUGGUUAUCGGGCUCGGAGAGAUUGUGAAUGGGUUGGUCAAGUUCCACGAUUCCUUGGAUUGAAGAGAAUAUGACACCUGAACAAAGAAAGGAAAACUAUUUACGUGACAUCACAUAGGUCACCAACAGUGAGCUUGGAUUCGAUUAUCUGAGAGAAAAUCUUGCCACAGAAAAGAGUGGAGGAGCUCGUCUUGAGGGAUUUCAAUUAUUUUGUUAGUCAUGAAGUUGAUUCCAUACUAGUUGAUGAAGCAAGGACUCCUCUCAUUAUCUCUGGGCCCAUAGAGAAACCUAGUGAUCAGUAUUACAUAGCUGCAAAGAUUGCUUCAGCCUUUGAGCGGGAUAUAUAUUACACUUUUUAUUUGUAGAAGGUGAAAUAGCUGCUUGGUGGAAACCCCUAGCGUAUGCUGAAGACACCUUCCAAGUUAUGCUUAUAAGGUGAAGAAGAAGUAAGUGGUUGUGGGAUUGUGCUGGAAGAAGAAAUAGAGAUCAGCUGGUGCCCUAUUAAGCAAGAAGAGGAGCAUUUGGAUGAUGAUUGCUCUGAAAGGCGGUAAGCUUUAGAAAAGAAACUUUGUUUGAUCUAGUUACUUUAUUGUGUUUAAUAGAAUAGAGGGGAAGUUUGUUUCUCUUUGUCCUUAUAUCAUAAAUUAGUACUCUUAUUAUGUAAGAGUAGAGCAGUUGAUAUUUUUGUAUAAGAUUUGGUUUGGAUUAAUAUUAGUAAGUCUUGAUAUGUUU